AUUGAACGCUGGCGGCAGGCCUAACACAUGCAAGUCGAACGAGUGGCGGACGGGUGAGUAAUGUCUGGGAAACUGCCCGAUGGAGGGGGAUAACUACUGGAAACGGUAGCUAAUACCGCAUACCAUCGGAUGUGCCCAGAUGGGAUUCGCUAGUAGGGGGGGGAACGGCUCACCUAGGCGAAGAUCCCUAGCUGGUCUGAGGGGAUGACCACCCACACUGGAACUGAUACACGGUCCAGCCUCCUACGGGAGGCAGCAGUGGGGAAUAUUUCACAAUGGGCGCAAGCCUGAUGCAGCCAUGCCGCGUGUAUGAAGAAGGCCUUCGGGUUGUAAAGUACUUUCAGCGAGGAGGCGUUACUCGCAGAAGAAGCACCGGCUAACUCCGUGCCAGCAGCCGCGGUAAUAC
rnacentral:rRNA from 1 species